rnacentral:rRNA from 1 species
GUGUCAGCCGCCGCGGUAAUACGUAGGGUGCGAGCGUUGUCCGGAAUUAUUGGGCGUAAAGGGCUCGUAGGCGGUUUGUCGCGUCGGGAGUGAAAACCAGGUGCUUAACACCUGGCUUGCUUUCGAUACGGGCAGACUAGAGGUAUUCAGGGGAGAACGGAAUUCCUGGUGUAGCGGUGAAAUGCGCAGAUAUCAGGAGGAACACCGGUGGCGAAGGCGGUUCUCUGGGAAUGACCUGACGCUGAGGAGCGAAAGUGUGGGGAGCGAACAGGAUUAGAUACCCCGGUAGUCC